CUUAACCCAUGCCAAGUCGAACGGCAGCACGGGUGCUUGCACCUGGUGGCGAGUGGCGAACGGGUGAGUAAUACAUCGAGAACAUGUCCUGUAGUGGAGGGAUAGCCCGGUCGAAGGCCGGAUUAAUACCGCAGACGAUCUACGGAUGAAAGCGGGGGACCUUCGGGCCUCGCGCUAUAGGGUUGGUCGAUGGCUGAUUAGCUAGGUGGUGGGGUAAAGGCCUACCAAGGCGACAAUCAGGAGCUGAUCUGAGAGGACGACCAGACACACUGGGACUGAGACACGGCCCAGACUCCUACGGGACGCAGCAGUGGAGGAAUUUUGGACAAUGGGUGAAAGCCUGAUCCAGACAAUGCACGCGUGUGUGAAGAAGGCCUUCGGGUUGUAAAGCCACUUCUUGUCCGGAAAGAAAUUCCUUGGACUCUAAUACAUGUCGGGGAGAUGACGCGUACCGGAAAAAUAAGCCACCGGCAAACUACGUGCCAACAACCGCGGUAAUACGCUAGGGUGCCAAGCGUUAAUCGGGAAUUACCUGGCGCGAAAAAGCGUGCGCAGGCCGGUUUUGUUAAGCACCCGAUGUUGAAAAUCCCCCGGGGCUCAACCCUGGGAAACUGCCAUUGGUGGACUGGGCAGGGCUACCAGUAUGGGCAUGAGGGGGGGGUAAAAAUUCCCACGGUGUAUCCACUUGAAAAUGCCGUAAAAAAAUUGUGGGAGGGAAAUACCCGGAUGGGCGAAACGGCAGCCCCCCCUGGGGCCCAAUUACCUGGACGCCUUCAAUGUCACCGAAAAGCCGUGGGG
rnacentral:rRNA from 1 species